rnacentral:rRNA from 1 species
CCUACGGGAGGCAGCAGUGAGGAAUAUUGGUCAAUGGGCGGGAGCCUGAACCAGCCAAGUAGCGUGAAGGAUGACAGCCCUAUGGGUUUUAAACUUCUUUUAUAAGGGAAUAAAGUGCCCCACGUGUGGGGUUUUGUAUGUACCUUAUGAAUAAGCAUCGGCUAAUUCCGUGCCAGCAGCCGCGGUAAUACGGAAGAUGCGAGCGUUAUCCGGAUUUAUUGGGUUUAAAGGGAGCGUAGGCGGUUCCAUAAGUCAGCGGUAAAAUCGUGCGGCUCAACCGUACCGUGCCGUUGAAACUGUGGGACUUGAGUAUGCGCAGGGUACAUGGAAUUCGUGGUGUAGCGGUGAAAUGCUUAGAUAUCACGAAGAACUCCGAUCGCGAAGGCAUUGUACCGGAGCAAGACUGACGCUGAGGCUCGAAAGUGCGGGUAUCAAACAGGAUUAGAUACCCCAGUAGUC